UACGUAGGGAGCGAGCGUUAUCCGGAAUUAUUGGGUGUAAAGGGUGCGUAGACGGGAGAACAAGUUAGUUGUGAAAUACCUCGGCUCAACUGAGGAACUGCAACUAAAACUGUACUUCUUGAGUGCAGGAGAGGUAAGUGGAAUUCCUAGUGUAGCAGUGAAAUGCGUAGAUAUUAGGAGGAACACCAGUGGCGAAGGCGGCCUACUGGGCACCAACUGACGCUGAGGCUCGAAAGUGUGGGUAGCAAACAGG
rnacentral:rRNA from 1 species